UGUCACUUUGAAUAUUUUAUUUGCUAUCACCACUCUCCACUGACUUAAGUAUUGGAGGAUCUCCGUCAGAUACGAUUUCGAUUGGUGGACUUCUUUUGCAGAUUGCUCUACGUCGGAGCUAGGCGCAAUAGGAGAUUGACCACAAUAGAUUGGCGCACUAGGUCGGGAAUAGAAGCGAAGAAAUUAUGAUAAAAAUAAAAGCUCAAGAGAACUCCAUCGGCUCCGUCAGAUAAUCUUCUCAUCGGGAAGACCUCCUUCCUCCACCUUCAAUGGCAGAGCUCAAUUCUUUGCAUCUUGUUAUCACUAUGGACGCCCAACUCACUGCUUUAAUGCAACAAAUGAAAAUACUGACGAAGGCAAUACACAGUCUCCAACAAUAACAGACACAGCAGCAGCAAUCGACAGUAGAGGAGUUGGCAGUGCAUACAGUGCCAUCCAGGCACAGUUGCCAUGCUCCACGAUGAUCUCUUUCUCCAUUCUUAGAACGACGAUCGUCUCGACACUCUCACCA
rnacentral:lncRNA from 1 species